UAAUACGUAGGCAGCGAGCGUUGUUCGGAGUUACUGGGCGUAAAGGGUGUGUAGGCGGUUCUUUAAGUUUGGUGUGAAAUCUCCCGGCUUAACCGGGAGGGUGCGCCGAAUACUGAGGGACUAGAGUACGGGAGAGGAAAGUGGAAUUCCUGGUGUAGCGGUGAAAUGCGUAGAUAUCAGGAGGAACACCGGUGGUGUAGACGGCUUUCUGGACCGUAACUGACGCUGAGACACGAAAGCGUGGGUAGCAAACAGGAUUAGAUACCCUGGUAGUCCACGCCCUAAACGAUGCAUAUUUGGUGUGGGUCAUUCAGUUGAUCCGUGCCGGAGCUAACGCGUUAAAUAUGCCGCCUGGGGAGUACAGUCGCAAGGCUG
rnacentral:rRNA from 1 species